UGGGGAAUAUUGCACAAUGGGGGAAACCCUGAUGCAGCGACGCCGCGUGAGCGAAGAAGGCUUUCGAGUCGUAAAGCUCUGUCCUAUGAGAAGAUAAUGACGGUAUCAUAGGAGGAAGCUCUGGCUAAAUACGUGCCAGCAGCCGCGGUAAUACGUAUGGGGCGAGCGUUGUUCGGAAUUAUUGGGCGUAAAGGGUACGUUGGCGGUUUUGUAAGUUAGGUGUCAAAGAGUGGAGCUUAACUCCAUUAAGCACUUGAAGCUGAAAGACUUGAGUGAAGAAGAGGAAAGUGGAUUUCCUAGUGUAGCGGUGAAAUGCGUAGAUAUUAGGAGGAAUACCGGUGGCGAAGGCGAGUUUCUGGACUUGUACUGACGCACAGGUACGAAAGCGUGGGGAGCAAACAGG
rnacentral:rRNA from 1 species